rnacentral:tRNA from 1 species
GCUCUUAUAGCUUAGUGGUAGAGCGCCAGUCUAGUAAACUGGAGGUCAAGAGUUCAAUUCUCUUUAAGAGCA